ensembl:lncRNA
AUUAACUUCUGCUGUUUUUGCCUUUAUGUUACGGAGAGCUUUUGUGCGAGCGCACAGAGGAAAAAGAGAGAGAGAAUGAGAAUUUGAAACCCAGACCACGGACUAGACAGCCUAUCAGUAUUCAGCGGAGAAAGUGAGUGAUGGAGAGAGAGAGAAACGGAGGAAAGAAAGGAGGAGGGGGUGAUGUAUCAAUAUUCUGAGUAGUGUUUGAGGGCGAGAAGAACGAACCGGGGAGGGGUGGAAGAGAGGCGCGGGUGCACGAAACAGUCCGAGCGGGUUUAUUCGCUCAGUGUUUGUUAGCGUGAGUCCAUUGGGGCGAGAUGAUAUCGGUAGAGGACGGAGACUCAAGUAUGUGUUUGUCUGAGAGAAGUGUUGUUCAAGUCGAAUGUGACGGAAUCUUAGCCGAAUGCUAGCCAUAACUCCACUCUCCCUCGCUCUCUUUUACUCUGUGUGCUAAUCAGCAUUUGAAAGGCAGCUUUGACAGUGAGAAAGAAAAGUGAGGGCAGUGGGGAGGAGGGAGUGUAAACGAGAAAGAAACGAGAGAGAGAGAGGGAGAGAGGGAGAGAGAGAGAGAGAGGUAGGGGCCGUACAAGCAUUUCUUUUAUAUUUACUAGCGAUUGAGGAGAAAGAGAGAGGGAGCGGGUGAAGAGACGACCGGUGCGUGCAGCUUUCCCAAGAGGAAAUGAAAAGAAAAGAAGCUCAACGAGGAAAGAGAGACAGCCAAAGCGGGGAGCACGCCAGAGAAGGAAACAGACUUGCAUCCUCUAACUCCAGUCAUAUCUGAGACGAUCCCGCUUGGAAAGUGAGGGAGGAGAGAGAGGGAGAGUGCGGUCAUCGCCACUGUGCGCCCACAAACACACAUACACACACACUCUUGUGGCAGCGGACCGCUGUGUGUUCGCCUGCUCUUUUGUGCCGGCAGCUGGGAUUGUUCUUAGCCCUGUCUGACCCCCUUGUCACCCCCCGUGUGAGUGUGUGUGUGUGGGAGCGCGAGGGGACCAGGAACGUGGACUGAGCGGAGGGGAGGGUCACCGGUUCGGGUGUCCGGACGGAGGAGGAGAGAAAUAUCUGCCUCCAAAACAGCUGGACAUGCACAUCAGCUCUUCUGUUGGGGGUCUCGGACUGACAUAGCCUCGGCCAAUCACAGCCUGAGUCAGAGGUGGCGGCCCAUAGGGGGCGUGAUGGCGGCCAUGCCGUUCGUCAGCGAGGGGAAGUGUGUGAGCGUGGAGUGGGACUUUCUACAGGGGCUCCUCGCCAAACCACCCACCUUACCCUGGUGAGGAAAAUCACACCUUCACACAAACACCUUCAAAUAUGAUACAUUUUCUUUCCCAAAUUUUUUUUUUCUGUUUUUUUUUUCUUAUUUAAAUUUUUUGUUUAUUCCUUUUUCAUGGUUAAAUUAAAUUUUAUUAAUCAAAACCAUGUCUAAUUAAUUGAAAACACGAGACAAUUUAACAAUUUAUUGACUGAGAAUUAGGAUUUUUAAAAUGAGACUUUUCUGGAUUCCUUAAUGGUUUAAUUAAAUUCAUAAAUCUACAAAACAAAGGUUUAAUAUUAAAAUUUAAACAUAGAAGAAAAUUGUUUAAAAUUCCUUAAAAAUAAAGUUUUAAUAAUUGAAUUACCA